rnacentral:rRNA from 1 species
AGUGAACGCUGGCGGUAGGCCUAACACAUGCAAGUCGAACGGCAGCACAGGAGAGCUUGCUCUCUGGGUGGCGAGUGGCGGACGGGUGAGGAAUACAUUGGAAUCUACUUUUUCGUGGGGGAUAACGUAGGGAAACUUACGCUAAUACCGCAUACGACCUACGGGUGAAAGCAGGGGAUCUUCGGACCUUGCGCGAUUGAAUGAGCCAAUGUCGGAUUAGCUAGUUGGCGGGGUAAGGGCCCACCAAGGCGACGAUCCGUAGCUGGUCUGAGAGGAUGAUCAGCCACACUGGAACUGAGACACGGUCCAGACUCCUACGGGAGGCAGCAGUGGGGAAUAUUUGACAAUGGGCGCAAGCCUGAUCCAGCCAUACCGCGUGGGUGAAGAAGGCCUUCGGGUUGUAAAGCCCUUUUGUUGGGAAAGAAAUCCAGCUGGCUAAUACCCGGUUGGGAUGACGGUACCCAAAGAAUAAGCACCGGCUAACUUCGUGCCAGCCGCCGCCGUAAAAC